ensembl:snoRNA
AGCACUGUAUGGUAUCUGCAGCCAGCCUUCACCACCGGCUGUUCUGUUCAUAACACAGUGCGAGAUCAACUCUUCAUAUGGCAUCGUUAGGCUCUGGGCUGGUCUGUGCUUAGUGCCCUGGUAUUUGUGCUGAGACAACA